GGGCCGUUGGCGCAGUUGGCUAGCGCGCGUCGUUGACAUCGACGAGGUCACAGGUUCAAGUCCUGUACGGCCCA
rnacentral:tRNA from 1 species